rnacentral:rRNA from 1 species
GAUGAACGCUGGCGGCGUGCCUAAUACAUGCAAGUCGAACGAAAAGACGCUGAGCUUGCUACUCUGACGUUAGCGGCGGACGGAUCAGUAAAAUGACGAUAACCUACCUAUAAGACUGGGCUAACUACCGGAAACCGAAACUAAUACCGUACUACAUAUUCAAGCGCGUGGUUCAAUAGUUCAAGACGGUUUUGCUGGACUCUAUACCUAGCUCCGCGCUGCAUUAGCUGGUUGGUACGGUAACGGCUUACCAAGGCGACGAUGCGUGGCCGACCGGAGAGGGGGAUCGGCCACACGGGAGCUGAGACACGGUCCAGAGUCCUACGGGAGGCAGCAGCAGGGAAUCGUCGGAAAUGGGCGAAAGCCUGACGGAGCAACGCCGCGUGAGUGAUGAAGGUCUUCGGAUCGUAAAACUCUGUUAGUAGGGAAGAACAAAUGUGUAAGGAACUAUGCAUGUCUUGACGGUACCUAAUCAGAAAGCCACGGCUAACUACGUG